UGAAUACGAGACGCUAAGGCGUCGAAGUAGUGUAUGUCAUACUUCCAAGAAAAGCUUGCACUGUCAUAGAUAAAAAACGCCUGUACCAUAACCGACACAGGUGGGUAGGUAGAGUAUACUAAGGGGCGCGAGAUAACUCUCUCUAAGGAACUCGGCAAAAUAACUCCGUAACUUCGGGAGAAGGAGUGCCUUAUUUAUAAGGCUGCAAUAACAAGAUCCAAGCAACUGUUUAUCAAAAACACAGGUCUCCGCUAAGUCGUAAGACGACGUAUGGGGGCUGACGCCUGCCCAGUGCCAGAAGGUUAAAGAAGUUGGUUAGCUUCUGCGAAGCUGAUAACUGAAGCCCUGGUGAACGGCGGCCGUAACUAUAACGGUCCUAAGGUAGCGAAAUUCCUUGUCGGGUAAGUUCCGACCCGCACGAAAGGCGUAAUGAUUUGGAUACUGUCUCGGAGAGGGGCUCGGUGAAAUAGACUUGUCUGUGAAGAUGCGGACUACCUGCACCAGGACAGAAAGACCCUAUGAAGCUUUACUGUAACUUGAAAUUGAAAUUGGACUUUAUUCGCGCAGCAUAGGUGGGAGGCGUUGAUUAUAAUCUCGUGGGAUUAUUGGAGCCAUCAGUGAGAUACCACUCUUGUAAUGUUAGAUUUCUAACUUUGAAUCAUUAUCUGGUCAAAGAACAGUUUCAGGCGGGCAGUUUGACUGGGGCGGUCGCCUCCUAAACGGUAACGGAGGCGUACAAAGGUUUCCUCUGAACGGUUAGAAAUCGUAUCUAGAGUGUAAAGGCAUAAGGAAGCUUGACUGUGAGACCUACAAGUCGAGCAGGGACGAAAGUCGGCCUUAGUGAUCUGACGGUACUGAGUGGAAAGGCCGUCACUCAACGGAUAAAAGUUACUCUAAGGAUAACAGGCUGAUCUCCCCCAAGAGUUCACAUCGACGGGGAGGUUUGGCACCUCGAUGUCGGCUCAUCGCAUCCUGGGGCGGUAGUACGUCCCAAGGGUUGGGCUGUUCGCCCAUGAAAGCGGUACGCGAGCUGGGUUCAGAACGUCGUGAGACAGUUCGGUCCAUAUCCGGUGUAGGCGUUAGAAUAUUGAGAGGAGCCUUCUUUAGUACGAGAGGACCGGGAAGGACAUACCUCUGGUGUACCAGUUAUCGUGCCAACGGUAAACGCUGGGUAGCUAUGUAUGGAGUGGAUAACCGCUGAAAGCAUCUAAGUGGGAAGCCCACCUCAAGAUAAGUAUUCCC
rnacentral:rRNA from 1 species